GCCUCCGUGGUCAAGUGGUAUGACGCCUGCCUACUGUGUUGUAAGAAUCCGGUUUACGUAGGCGACGAGGGUUCGAGUCCCUCCGGAGGCA